AUUGAACGCUGGCGGCAUGCUUUACACAUGCAAGUCGAACGGCAGCGCGGGCUUCGGCCUGGCGGCGAGUGGCGAACGGGUGAGUAAUACAUCGGAACGUGCCCAGUAGUGGGGGAUAGCUCGGCGAAAGCCGGAUUAAUACCGCAUACGACCUGAGGGUGAAAGCGGGGGAUCUUCGGACCUCGCGCCAUUGGAGCGGCCGAUGGCAGAUUAGCUAGUUGGUGGGGUAAAGGCCUACCAAGGCGACGAUCUGUAGCUGGUCUGAGAGGACGACCAGCCACACGGGGACUGAGACACGGCCCAGACUCCUACGGGAGGCAGCAGUGGGGAAUUUUAGACAAUGGGCGAAAGCCUGAUCCAGCAAUGCCGCGUGUGUGAUGAAGGCCUUCGGGUUGUAAAGCACUUUUGGCGGGAACGAAAAGGACUGUGCCAAUACCACGGUUCGAUGACGGUACCCGCAGAAUAAGCACCGGCUAACUACGUG
rnacentral:rRNA from 1 species